CAGAAUCUUUAAUCUGAUCUUCAUCUUCUUCAUCGCUCUUCUCUCUUCAUCAUCUCAUCGAUUCUGUUUAUCAUAUUCAACUAAUACAGGCUUCUCGGGUUUUGUCUAGAAGGAGAAGAAAAGAUACUUGUAUACGAGUUUGUCCCAAACAAGAUCCUCGAUUACUUCCUCUUUGACCCUACAAAGCAAGGGCGGUUAGACUGGACAAAACGAUACAACAUUAUAAAGGGAAUGACUAGAGGAAUUAUUUAUCUUCAUCAAGAUUCACGGCUCGCAAUCGUACAUCAUGAUCUCAAAGCCAGCAACAUUCUCCUAGAUGCCGAUAUAAACCCUAAAAUUGCUGAUUUUGGAAUGGCAAGAAUUUUUGGGAUCAACCAAAGUGGAGCUAAUACAAAUAGAAUAGUUGGGACACGAUAUAUGUUUAUUACUCUUUAGUCUUGAUGUGUCCUGUUUACCAAAGCUCAAGAAUCUUUUUCGCCAUUUAUGUACUUCAUAUUUUUUGCUUUUUUUUUUUUUUUUUUUAAAUUCUUGCAGGGGUUACAUGCCCCCAAAAUAUGUGUUGCAUGGACUAUUCUCAACAAAAUUUGAUGUCUACAGUUUUGGAGUUUUAGUUCAUGAGAUUAUUGGCGGUCGAAGUAACAGAUUCGUCCACCAGAGCAGGCACUACAGUAGAGAAUUUGGUCACAUAUGCUUGGACAUUGUGGAGAAGCGAGUCGCCAUUAGAACUCGUGGAUUCAACCAUUUCAGAAAAUUGUCAAACCGAAG